UACAGAGGGCGCGAGCGUUAAUCGGAAUUACUGGGCGUAAAGCGCGCGUAGGCGGCUCUGCAAGUCGGGUGUGAAAUCCCCAGGCUUAACCUGGGAACUGCAUUCGAGACUGCAUUGCUAGAGUAUGGGAGAGGGAAGUGGAAUUUCCGGUGUAGCGGUGAAAUGCGUAGAUAUCGGAAGGAACAUCAGUGGCGAAAGCGACUUCCUGGACCAAUACUGACGCUCAUGUGCGAAAGCGUGGGGAGCAAACAGG
rnacentral:rRNA from 1 species